rnacentral:rRNA from 1 species
AUUGAACGCUGGCGGCAUGCCUUACACAUGCAAGUCGAACGGCAGCAUGGAGAGCUUGCUCUCUGAUGGCGAGUGGCGAACGGGUGAGUAAAGCAUCGGAACGUACCGUGUAGUGGGGGAUAACGUAGCGAAAGUUACGCUAAUACCGCAUACGCACUUAGGUGGAAAGCAGGGGAUCGUAAGACCUUUCGCUAUACUAUCUGCCGAUGUCAGAUUAGCUAGUUGGUUGGGUAAAGGCCUACCAAGGCGACGAUCUGUAGCGGGUCUGAGAGGAUGAUCCGCCACACUGGAACUGAGACACGGCCCAGACUACUACGGGAGGCAGCAGUGGGGAAUUUUGGACAAUGGGGGCAACCCUGAUCCAGCAAUGCCGCGUGAGUGAAGAAGGCCUUCGGGUUGUAAAGCUCUUUCGGCCGGGAAGAAAUCGCACAGGCUAAUACCCUGUGUGGAUGACGGUACCGGCAUAAGAAGCACCGGCUAACUACGUG